CCUACGGGGUGCAGCAGUGAGGAAUAUUGGUCAAUGGACGAGAGUCUGAACCAGCCAAGUAACGUGAAGGAUGACUGCCCUAUGGGUUGUAAACUUCUUUUAUAAAGGACUAAAACGAGGCACGUGUGCCUUUUUGCAUGUACUUUAUGAAUAAGGAUCGGCUAACUCCGUGCCAGCAGCCGCGGUAAUACGGAGGAUCCGAGCGUUAUCCGGAUUUAGUGGGUUUAAAGGGAGCGUAGAUGGGUUGUUAAGUCAGUUGUGAAAGUUUGCGGCGCAACCGUAAAAUUGCAAUUGAUACUGGCAGUCUUGAGUACAGUUGAGGUAGGCGGAAUUCGUGGUGUAGCGGUGAAAUGCUUAGAUAUCACGAAGAACCCCGAUUGCGAAGGCAGCUUACUAAACUGUGACUGACAUUGAUGCUCGAAAGUGUGGGUAUCAAACAGGAUUAGAUACCCCUGUAGUC
rnacentral:rRNA from 1 species